CGGACUGUAGUACAACGGUAGUAUGCAUGGCUGGGGGUCAUGUGACCCGGGUUCGAUUCCCGGCAGUCCGA
rnacentral:tRNA from 1 species